CCAGCCUGGAAUAUAAGUUGCUGUCUUCAAGACUACUGCAAAAUCGGGGAGGCCUGUGGAGCAAUGGUAAAGGUGAUGAUAUGGCCACAUUGCUCUUCAUUUCACUUUUGGAGAAAUUUGGUUUCCAGAAUAUAUGAAGAUAAUAAAGAUGCACAGUAGCAUUAUAAAUUUCAGGGAAAAAAUUGAAAUACAGGAAUAUAAAUUACUUUGGUAAUUGUGAAUAUUUCAUGAAGAAACUCUGGAAGAUGCAGAAAUUGGGAGAAAGGGGUGUGGAGUCCAGAAUCAAAGAUAUGUCAGUAUUAGCCUGACAUCUUACACAGUGGUUCCUUAGGAAUGUGAUGACUCCCAGGCAGAGAGCCUAUGCUGACAGUCAUCCUCAGUGACAACUGAAAGAUCAGAGUGCAGGGCAGAAAUAUUGCUCCAUUCUCUGAUGCAUAUCCAGUGAAACAAGACUAUCAAGAACUGGGACCAGAUGUCUGCCCCACCCAGAGACCAGCCAUCUCCCCAAGCUGGAGACUGCCCUGCAUAUAACUGGCUUAUAGUCUUUGUUCUGGGAGAUGGUUCUUUUAGACGUGAGUCAGCCAUCUUCCCUCUUGCUAGCAAGCAUAAUAAAGUCCUUUCUCUCCUAC
rnacentral:lncRNA from 1 species